rnacentral:rRNA from 1 species
UGGGGAAUUUUGGACAAUGGGCGAAAGCCUGAUCCAGCAAUGCCGCGUGUGUGAAGAAGGCCUUCGGGUUGUAAAGCACUUUUGUCCGGAAAGAAAUCCUUGGCUCUAAUACAGUCGGGGGAUGACGGUACCGGAAGAAUAAGCACCGGCUAACUACGUGCCAGCAGCCGCGGUAAUACGUAGGGUGCAAGCGUUAAUCGGAAUUACUGGGCGUAAAGCGUGCGCAGGCGGUUUGCUAAGACCGAUGUGAAAUCCCCGGGCUCAACCUGGGAACUGCAUUGGUGACUGGCAGGCUAGAGUAUGGCAGAGGGGGGUAGAAUUCCACGUGUAGCAGUGAAAUGCGUAGAGAUGUGGAGGAAUACCGAUGGCGAAGGCAGCCCCCGGGCCAAUACUGACGCUCAUGCACGAAAGCGUGGGGAGCAAACAGGAUUAGAUACCCUGGUAGUCCACGCCCUAAAACGAUGUCAACUAGUUGUUGGGGAUUCAUUCCCUUAGUAACGUAGCUAACGCGUGAAGUUGACCGCCUGGGGAGUACGGUCGCAAGAUUAAAACUUAAAGGAAUUGA